AGAACACCAGACGUCUUCCUCGUCGGCCAGGCGUGACGAGGAUUUUCGAGGCCGAACACGAACCAGUCGGACAAUUACGUGCAAAGCGAUGUCUGCCUGUAAGGGUUUUGUCCGCGAGCCGACGGACGUGUCAUUGUUCUCUAAAUAUCCGUCAUUGUGCUGGAGCCUUAUCGUCGCGCACGAGUGCCCUGAGACUUACAGAUUGUUUCAGCAGGCUGUCACGAAUUACGAUUCGCUGCUGGGAAUUCAUGAGAUAUUUUUUUCACAACUUCAAAGCCACAUCCAAUAUUAUUGACUGUCGUUCAUUACAAUGAUGGUGGCAGCAUCAAUACCAUUGUCACGUUACUCCUGUAACGGCCUUAAGUUUGGAUACUUUGCACGACGUCUUGAUCCUGACAACGGUAUAUAAAAUAGAAGACUGCCAGAAGAACGAAAUGAUCGUUCAAUUGGAAUUUAUGGAAUGAAGCCCUACUUCGUCAGUGCUGCAGCUAUCUGUGUACUGAUCGGCCAACAGAAAGUCCCAUCCUCGGGCCAGUUUCCGAUCGUGGGUUAAAUUUUGCAGUAGCUAUCCAUUGUUCAGCCACCAUUGUUUCAGUAUCUCGGGGGCGGCGCUUCCCAUUGUCUCCACCCUUUGUGCCUCUCCGUGGCCGGAUCUCUCGCCUUGACUAGAAAGAACGGCGGAGGGUGUUUCGUUCGGUGAUGGAAGGACGGGGUGGGGAGAGAGAAGGGAGGAGAUCGGGAUGCUGCCAGGGAAUAAAGGGAGGAAACACAGGAAUUGAAAUAAUCGAGAAAGCGCCAGUGGGAGGUAAAGUAUUAUACUACCCUUCCAGUUGGCCUUUCUGCUCCUCUCAAUUUCACCCUUUGAUCCGACUUAUCAUGGAUUUCAUAAAAACCUACAAAAGCCGGACGUUUUUACCUGAAAGGAUAAAUAUUAAGGACAUCCAGGACGUGAGUGUGCAGCGAGCAUAAAUAAAGCCUAGGACAUAAAGAUGGCCAAGAAGGAUCAUUGUAAGGGGGACAGGAUCGAUGCGUCCGCGUUUCUUUUUCUAUCCAAAGAACGUGACGUAACGCGGCCGUAAGUCUUGGAUAGAACAAAGUGCGUCGAUCCACUUUCGGGCCGAAUGCGAAUCCGAUGCAAAUCCUCGGCCGGAAGCCGACAAUGGGGAAACCUAGCGAUAUGCUAAUGCGUUCUCCAGCGAGCCACGCAGGACCCGUGUUCGCGAGGACAUCCAUAUAUCGUAUAUCCGCUACUCUCUAUCUCGCGUAGAGAGCAACUGCGGUGACGAAGACGAGAGAGAGGGACACGAGGACAAGAAGAGCACCGGAGAGCCAGAGAAAGCGAGAGGCAGAGCGAGGCACGAGGAAAGGCCGAUACAAUGCUGGCC